rnacentral:tRNA from 1 species
GCUCGGCUGGUGAAAUUUGGCAAACACAGGGGACUUAAAAUCCCCCGACCAUUUGGUCUUGCGGGUUCGAGUCCCGCGCUGAGCA